UACAGAGGGUGCGAGCGUUGUCCGGAAUCACUGGGCGUAAAGGGCGCGUAGGUGGUGACCUAAGCGUGCGGUGAAAGCCCGAGCUCAACCUCGGGUCGGCCGUGCGAACUGGGUCACUGGAGCAGAAUAGAGGCAGGUGGAAUUCCGGGUGUAGCGGUGGAAUGCGUAGAGAUCCGGAAGAACACCGGAGGCGAAGGCGGCUUGCUGGACCUGGUCUGACGCUGAGGCGCGAAAGCGUGGGGAGCGAACAGG
rnacentral:rRNA from 1 species